GCAGAAAUGUACAAUAUACUUCCUUUUUCCGGUCUCGUUUGUAUGAAACUUUGAGUAAAAUAUAUAUUUAUCAGUCUAGUAUAAAAUAGGAAGAAACGUGCAAUACCAAUUUCAUUUUUAAUAAUUCCUUGAUAUGAAAAAACGUUACCUAAUGAUAGCGUUUCUUUGUUUACAUUGCAUAUGACGUCAUAAUUUAAAUAACGUCACAACUAAAAUCCCUAACAACAGAACCAAACUCGGAAACGUUACGGUAUUUCCGUUUCUUUUUUUUUUUGACAAAUAAUUAAGUUACAAAAAAAUAAUUCAUACAGACUUCGUCCCCAUUUACAGGUAAUGCCUGCCUCAUAUUAUA
rnacentral:lncRNA from 1 species